rnacentral:snRNA from 1 species
AUUUAAAUAAACAUAAUUAUAUAUUAAAACUGGAACAAUACAGAGCAGAUUAGCAUGGCCCCUGCGCAUGCCAGUAAAUCUGCGAAUAGUCCAUUCCUUUG